AGCAGAGUGGCGCAGUGGUAGGGUGCUGGAUCCAUAAUCCAGGCGUCCGUGGAUCGAAGCCAUGCGCUGCUA